AGAGUUUGAUCCUGGCUCAGAGCGAACGCUGGCGGCGUGCUUAACACAUGCAAGUCGAGUGCGCGUCUGUAGCAAUACAGAUGGCGCACGGCGCACGGGUGCGUAACACGUGGGUAAUCUGCCCUUCGAAGGGGAAUAACUCGCCGAAAGGCGAGCUAAUUCCGCAUAACAUUCCUUGGACUUUGGUUUGAGGACUCAAAGGCGUAAGUCGUCGGAGGAGGAGCCCGCGCACGAUUAGCUAGUUGGUGAGGUAAUGGCUCACCAAGGCUAUGAUCGUUAGCUGGUCUGAGAGGAUGGCCAGCCACACUGGAACUGAGACACGGUCCAGACUCCUACGGGAGGCAGCAGUGGGGAAUCUUGCACAAUGGGCGAAAGCCUGAUGCAGCGACGCCGCGUGGGGGAUGAAGCUUCUCGGAGUGUAAACCCCUUUCGACCCGGACGAAUGCCCCGCAAGGGGACUGACGGUACGGGUAUAAGAAGCCCCGGCUAACUACGUGCCAGCAGCCGCGGUAAGACGUAGGGGGCCAGCGUUGCUCGGAAUUACUGGGUGUAAAGGGUUCGUAGGCGGUGUGGCAAGUCGGGAGUGAAAUCUCUGGGCUCAACCCAGAGUCUGCUUCCGAAACUGCUGUGCUUGAGUGUGGGAGAGGCGCGUGGAAUUGCAGGUGUAGCGGUGAAAUGCGUAGAUAUCUGCAGGAACACCCGUGGCGAAAGCGGCGCGCUGGACCACUACUGACGCUGAGGAACGAAAGCUAGGGGAGCAAACAGGAUUAGAUACCCUGGUAGUCCUAGCCCUAAACGAUCAGGACUUGGGGUGCCACCCGUUCGGGUGUCGUCCCGGAGCUAACGCGUUAAGUCCUGCACCUGGGGAGUACGGUCGCAAGACUGAAACUCAAAGGAAUUGACGGGGGCCCGCACAAGCGGUGGAACAUGUGGUUCAAUUCGACGCUACGCGAGGAACCUU
rnacentral:rRNA from 1 species